GAAGCAGAAACCAGAGAAACUGUCCUUUUCUUGUUGGUCACAGACAAAAUAUUUUCUUCAGAUGUAGCUUCUUGGAUUUCCCAUGAAAACCUUUCCAGAGAUUUGUUUGGUCGCUGGUGUUGAUUCCAACUGCCAGGUACUGGCUCCUGCUUUGGAUUUUCAGAGGAAAGGUUUUUCUCCGUGGAUGAUCCAUGUCUUAAAUUGACUCGUCCCUCCUGAUAUAUGAAAGCCUCCAUUGAGAGAAAGGAGACAGAACAAAGCAAGAGAGGCAAAGAAUCUGCAUUUCCAUACCGUCUCAUUGUCUUCUUCAUCUUUCUCAUCCUCCACAAAUCGGAUUGCACUGACUCUGUUGACAGCACGCUCGUUCCAGGCUUCAUCAGAGACAUCAUUUACCAAGUUCUCCAGCGCACCACAGCGAGGCAGAUUCUCUGCAGUGACAAAGACCACAUCAGCAGGGAACUGCGGUUCAUGUGACCGGUAAAAGCCAUGAACUUUGCAGCUGACAAGGCAGAAUCUAUGCGGAGGACCAGGGGUAGAACACCAGAAAGAAGGGUGGUGUUCUGUGGCAAGUUUGGCUUUAAAACACAAACACACACAAAAUUCAAAAACAAAAAGAAAAAGGCCCGGGGCAAGGUGGCCCCUUCUUUUUUAAUGAUGUAUAACUCUAUUUGAGAUCAUAUAAAAUAUCUGCUAAAUUAAUAUGUUUAAUAUUUCAUCACAGAAUGUCAUAAUUUAGAGUCCCUUUUAAAAUACUUAUUUUAUGCAACUUCAAAACUGUCCUGACAGUGAUGUGGCCGCACAGGUUGGACACCAGUACUUUCCUCAGUAACACACUCUACCACGUUUUCCCUUAGGGUCUUAAAGUCCUCCCACUGGGGCUCCCAUUCCCCCAGGGCACUCCGGUUCCCCUCCACCAAGCCCAGCCCUCAGCAAAGGGUUUAUGAUAGCAUUUUGAUGUUAACGUGAAUUUUUUUUUAACCACGCGGUUUACAAAACAAAGAUACAAUGACUCAAAAUAAUUCAAUGGCUUAAAAACAGUAUGCCAGUGGUGUUAGUACUAAUCCCCUGAACUAUCAGUUUGGAUUUUAAGAGACUCUGUUACCACUUUUAGAAGUAUUGUAUUUUCAGCCUUAGCUAUAAUUCAAAACCAAAAAACUGCUUAUGGAAUUUCAAACAUGAUAAAUAGAUAUGAGCGGCCCUUCUGCAAGGAUGUAGGGUAACCUUUCCGGAAGAGUCCCACAGUGUCCUCACCCGAGCCGGCUCUAGGUGCAGACUGGAUAUAACACAAUCACAUGAAGGAGUAAGAGGCCUUAUGGACAGACAUUAGGUCCUACUCAAUCUCGUGGCCCUGUGAAUACUGUCCUUAAAUUAAAUUCACCUUGACAAGUAGGUUCAGAAGGCAGCUGAGGAAGUAAGACACAGGUUAAAAUCUUCUCUCCCGUGGUGUAGUCUGUGUCUGUCUGGAAUGUAAGCAGGGGCUGGGACUGGUUGUCAGAUAGCCACAGAGCCUUCAACUUCAAGGCAGUCAGGGAUAAAGGUAGAUGCAGCAACCUAUUUUUUUUUUUUUUUUAAAAAAAAGAGACAUUACAACCUCAAAUUUUAUAAUCAAAUCAAUCCCUAUCCAUAAAAUGAGGAAAAAUUAAAAACAGCUUCCUGAGAUUGGUUUCAAAAUGUAAAAACGAUGUUAUGUUUUUAAGACACUUGACAUACUCUUUGCAAGUGGAUUCUUCAGUAGGUUCCUGUGCUUCCCUUUUCUGCUCUCACUUCUCCCAUGAGAACCUCCAGAUUACAGGGCAAAAAAAAAAAAAAGAGAGAGAAAAUUGUAGGACACAUUUUUAGGGUCUUGUACUAGGUUUCAAUGUAAAGAGAGAAAAAAAGUCAAGGUGAUUUUGGAAGGACCCAGAGGAGGUUCUUUACCUCUGAUGGCGACAGCCUCACUGACAGGGCUGGUUUUGAAGCUGCGGGAUUACCUGUUUCCAGGAGCACCUGAUGAAUCAGGCCAAGAGGAAGGAGGUGCCUGGGGUGUCAAAGCAUUUAAGUUGCAGCCAAAAUAAAGAUUAAACCCCA